AAUCUAUGGUGUCAGCACUUCCUGAGCAUUAACUUGAAACAUUUCGACGCCUCAUAUAGGGAUUCACCUUUAUAUUGCUUAAAUUUGGCGAUUUCUUGCCUAAGCU
rnacentral:snoRNA from 1 species